rnacentral:rRNA from 1 species
UACGGAGGGUGCGAGCGUUAAUCGGAAUUACUGGGCGUAAAGGGUGCGUAGGUGGUUGAUUAAGUUAUCUGUGAAAUUUCUGGGCUUAACCUGGGCAGGUCAGAUGAUACUGAUUAACUCGAGUAUGAGAGAGGGUAGUGGAAUUUCCGGUGUAGCGGUGAAAUGCGUAGAGAUCGGAAGGAACACCGGUGGCGAAGGCGGCUACCUGGCUUAAUACUGACACUGAGGCACGAAAGCGUGGGGAGCAAACAGG